UACGUAGGGGGCAAGCGUUGUCCGGAUUUAUUGGGCGUAAAGAGCGUGUAGGCGGCCUGACAGGUCUGCUGUGAAAACUCGAGGCUCAACCUCGAGAUGUCGGCGGAAACCGUCUGGCUAGAGUCCGGAAGAGGAGAGUGGAAUUCCUGGUGUAGCGGUGGAAUGCGCAGAUAUCAGGAGGAACACCGAUGGCGAAGGCAGAUCUCUGGGCCGUAACUGACGCUGAGGAGCGAAAGCAUGGGGAGCGAACAGG
rnacentral:rRNA from 1 species